rnacentral:rRNA from 1 species
CACACCGCCCGUCGCUACUACCGAUUGAAUGGCUCAGUGAGGCCUUCGGACUGGCCUGGGGAGGUUGGCAACGACCACCCUGGGCCGGAAAGUUCGUCAAACUCGGUCAUUUAGAGGAAGUAAAAGUCGUAACAAGGUUUCCGUAGGUGAACCUGCGGAAGGAUCAUUACGCAUAGUGAGAGCCGGAAGACAGUCCCCCUGUAGCAAAAAUUACGGGGGGUAGGACUCUUGCCCCGAGCAAUCGGGUUACCCUGCUUUUUGAGCACCAUUUGUUUCCUCGGCGGGCUUGCCCGCCAGUGGGGACCCCCUAAAACCUUUUGUAAUGAGAAGUAACCGUCAGUAAGAUAAAAAUUAUCACAACUUUCAACAAUGGAUCUCUUGGCUCUGGCAUCGAUGAAGAACGCAGCGAAAUGCGAUAAGUAGUGUGAAUUGCAGAAUUCCGUGAAUCAUCGAAUCUUUGAACGCACAUUGCGCCCCUCGGUAUUCCGUGGGGCAUGCCUGUUCGAGCGUCAUUUACACCCUCAAGCUCUGCUUGGUGUUGGGCGUCUGUCCCGCCUUGUGCGCGGACUCGCCUCAAAGCGAUUGGCGGCUAGAACUACGGCCUGGAGUGCAGCAGAAUUGCGCUCCUCGUCCGCGGUCUGGCUCCCAGAAGCAAACCUUUUUUACUUGUUUGACCUCGAAUCAGGUAGGGAUACCCGCUGAACUUAAGCAUAUCAAUAAGCGGAGGAAAAGAAACCAACAGGGAUUGCCCUAGUAACGGCGAGUGAAGCGGCAACAGCUCAAAUUUGAAAUCUGGCCCCUCCGGUGCCCGAGUUGUAAUUUGCAGAGGGUGCUUUGGUGUUGGCUGUGGUCCAAGUUCCCUGGAACAGGACGUCACAGAGGGUGAGAACCCCGUACGUGGCCGCCAGUCUUCGCCGUGUAAAGCCCCUUCGACGAGUCGAGUUGUUUGGGAAUGCAGCUCUAAAUGGGAGGUAAAUUCCUUCUAAAGCUAAAUAUUGGCCAGAGACCGAUAGCGCACAAGUAGAGUGAUCGAAAGAUGAAAAGCACUUUGGAAAGAGAGUGAAACAGCACGUGAAAUUGUUGAAAGGGAAGCGCUUGGAGCCAGACGUGCCCGUAGUUGCUCAGCCGGGGUUCUCCCCGGUGCACUCUUCUGCGGGCAGGCCAGCAUCAGUUUGGGCGGUUGGAUAAAGACCUGCUAAACGUACCUCCCCCCGGGGAGGACUUAUAGGGUAGGCGGCAUACAACCAGCCCGGACUGAGGACCGCGCAUCUGCUAGGAUGCUGGCGUAAUGGCUGUAAGCGGCCCGUCUUGAAACACGGACCAAGGAGUCUAACAUCUAUGCGAGUGUUUGGGUGUCAAGCCCGAGCGCGUAAUGAAAGUGAACGCAGGUGGGAGCCUUUCGGGGCGCACCAUCGACCGAUCCUGAUGUCUUCGGAAGGAUUUGAGUAAGAGCAUAGCUGUUGGGACCCGAAAGAUGGUGAACUAUGCCUGAAUAGGGUGAAGCCAGAGGAAACUCUGGUGGAGGCUCGCAGCGGUUCUGACGUGCAAAUCGAUCGUCAAAUUUGGGCAUAGGGGCGAAAGACUAAUCGA